rnacentral:rRNA from 1 species
AUACGGAGGGUGCAAGCGUUAUUCGGAAUUACUGGGCGUAAAGCGUACGUAGGCGGUUAUUUAAGUCAGAUGUGAAAGCCCCGGGCUUAACUUGGGAACUGCAUUUGAAACUGGGUAACUAGAGUUUAGUAGAGGGGAGUGGAAUUUCAGGUGUAGCGGUGAAAUGCGUAGAGAUCUAAAGGAACACCAGUGGCGAAGGCGACUCCCUGGACUAAAACUGACGCUGAGGUACGAAAGCGUGGGUAGCAAACAGGAUUAGAAACCCUAGUAGUCC